GAUGAACGCUGGCGGCGUGCUUAACACAUGCAAGUCGAACGAAGCACUUUAACUUGAUUUCUUCGGAAGGAUUGUUUUUGUGACUGAGUGGCGGACGGGUGAGUAACGCGUGGGUAACCUGCCUCAUACAGGGGGAUAACAGUUGGAAACGACUGCUAAUACCGCAUAAGCGCACAGUACCGCAUGGUACAGUGUGAAAAACUCCGGUGGUAUGAGAUGGACCCGCGUCUGAUUAGCUAGUUGGUGAGGUAACGGCUCACCAAGGCGACGAUCAGUAGCCGACCUGAGAGGGUGACCGGCCACAUUGGGACUGAGACACGGCCCAAAGUCCUACGGGAGGCAGCAGGGGGGAAUAUUGCACAAUGGGCGAAAGCUCGAUGCAGCGACGCCGCGUGAACGAUGAAGUAUUUCGGUAUGUAAAGUUUUAUCAGCAGGGAAGAUAAUGACGGUACCUGACUAAGAAGCACCGGCUAAAUACGUGCCAGCCGCCGCCGUAAGAC
rnacentral:rRNA from 1 species